AGAGUUUGAUCCUGGCUCAGAACGAACGCUGGCGGCGUGGAUAAGACAUGCAAGUCGAACGGGAUAUCAUCUGUAGCAAUACAAGUGAUGUCCAGUGGCGCAAGGGUGCGUAACACGUGGGGAGUCUGCCGAGAAGUGGGGGAUAGCUCGUCGAAAGGCGAAUUAAUACCGCAUGUGGUUAGUGAAGACAUCUUCGCGAUACCAAAGCCGGGGCAACCUGGCGCUUCUUGAUGACCCCGCGGCCUAUCAGCUAGUUGGUGAGGUAACGGCUCACCAAGGCUAUGACGGGUAGCUGGUCUGAGAGGACGACCAGCCACACUGGAACUGAGACACGGUCCAGACACCUACGGGUGGCAGCAGUCGAGAAUUUUUCUCAAUGGGGGAAACCCUGAAGGAGCGACGCCGCGUGGAGGAUGAAGGUCUUCGGAUUGUAAACUCCUGUCAUUUGGGAACAAUUGUCACCGGUUAACUGCCGGGGGCUUGAUAGUACCAGAAGAGGAAGAGACGGCUAACUCUGUGCCAGCAGCCGCGGUAAUACAGAGGUCUCAAGCGUUGUUCGGAUUCAUUGGGCGUAAAGGGUGCGUAGGUGGCGGGGUAAGUCAGGUGUGAAAUCUCGGGGCUCAACCCCGAAACUGCACUUGAUACUGCCUUGCUCGAGUGCUGGAGAGGAGAUUGGAAUUUACGGUGUAGCAGUGAAAUGCGUAGAUAUCGUAAGGAAGACCAGUGGCGAAGGCGAAUCUCUGGACAGUUACUGACACUGAGGCACGAAGGCCAGGGGAGCAAACGGGAUUAGAUACCCUGGUAGUC
rnacentral:rRNA from 1 species